GGGCAAGGAGAGCUUGUGGGGACGGAGCAUGUGGCCCCCACUGGUCUGGCUGGAUCUCCAGGACCGGAUCCUGCCCCCCAUGAGGUGGCAUCCCCUUGUAAAGGAGUUGGGGAAGGAAGAGGGCGAGAUCUUGGCAUCCUGUGAGCUGAUCCUCCAGACUGAGCUUGGAGAGAAGCAGCUGCCUAUCUUAAGCGUUCCCUGGAAGAAUGGGGCAUACACACUCCCCAAGAGCAUCCAGCCCACGAUAAAGAGGAUGGCCAUUGAGGUGCUGGCGAUGUGGGAUGGGGACGGUGGGCAGGACAGGCGGGGGUGGUCUGGAGUGCGCUGCAGCCUUCUGCUGGUCCUCCCUGACUACUGGAUCCAAAGCUCACACCCCGAGAAAGACUACCUGGGAGGUGGAGGGAGACAGGAGAGAAACGAAGAGGUUCUGGUGUAACACUGGAAAUAAUUUUACCACAAACCUCUGCAGUGAGGAGUAGGCAAAGGGCUGUAGCAUGCAUGAUCACUUGUCGGACUCACGCUGCCCCUGCGCAGUAGCAACUACUUUGCAGAGAAGGAAAUAGAGGCUCCAAGAGAUAACACAUUCCACGCACAGUGAUGCAGGGACUAACUGACAGGGCCAUUUAGGCCCAGCCCUGUCUGACUGCAGAUGCCAGGAUGUUGCUCACCUCUCUUCUGAGAGUAGCAUGAGGGUCCUCAUUCAGAAGCUGUGUG
rnacentral:lncRNA from 1 species